rnacentral:rRNA from 1 species
UACAGAGGGGGCAAGCGUUGUUCGGAAUUACUGGGCGUAAAGGGCGCGUAGGCGGCCUGCUAAGUCGAACGUGAAAUCCCUGGGCUCAACCCAGGAACUGCGUCCGAUACUGGUUGACUUGAAUCCGGGAGAGGGAUGUGGAAUUCCAGGUGUAGCGGUGAAAUGCGUAGAUAUCUGGAGGAACACCGGUGGCGAAGGCGACAUCCCGGACCGGUAUUGACGCUGAGGCGCGAAAGCCAGGGGAGCAAACGGG